GAUGCACAAUCGUUAUAAAAGAAUCAUAAAAGUGGUCUCUAUGACUCAUGCAUUAUAUGGAGUCUUCUAAAGUCAGAAAGUUAUUCUGGGGAAAAAAAGCUUGACAUUAGCCCUAGCUUUUCCUCGGUGCAGUUUAUGAAAUUGUUGCUGGUUGUUGAUACAGUUCACAAAAAAAGAAAAAAAAAAAGAAGAAAAGAAAUUUAAGAACAACAACAAUGAAAACAACAAACAAACAAGUAUGAUUAAUUCAAUCAAACUGAUCUGAUUAUCAAGUUAAUUUACAACAAUAAGUUUAAUCUGGUACCCCAUCAUACUGUUGUUCUGCUUGUUUAUUGAUCUAUUGAUCUUUCAGGCUCUCUAUCAUUUUACCAUUCGUUAUAUCGAUAAAUCAUUCUAAUGAUGAUCUCUGUUGUUUUUACUAAAUAAAACUGGCAGUUGGUUGUCAGAAUAGUUAAAAACUACACUAAAAAUGGCAAUAACUUUUUUACAUUUUAGUUUUUUUUUUUUUCACUGAAUUAGCAUGCUACUCUGUCAUGCUAAACUCUAUUUUGAUCCCUGUCUGCCUGCCUAGAAUCUAAUCAAUUACUAAUAACACACAUUAGCUUGUAGAUAUAUACUGUAGUUUCAUUGCCUGCUUUCCUUGACUCAUGUAUCUCAGAUUCUCUGCUUCCUCUUAAAAAUGCUGGCCAACUAAAAAGUUUCUCAGUCAUUCAAUGCAAAAACAACGUGGUGAAACCAGAGACAAGCAGAGGGUGACACAGUACUGUGGAUGCAAAGCAUGGUUUUCCUUGUGAUCGAGAUUUCAGCAUCUCAGAGCCCUUGGGAGUCAUCGCCAGAGGAAGAGGAAGGAGAGUGGGAGGAACUGAAGGAAGAGCAGAGCCAGGAUGUUGCUCCAAAGUGGAUGAAAGAGCCAGAAGUCACAACUCUAGGAAUUCAUGACAAAGAAUGGUCAUUGUGUGCAUGUGAUCACAAAUUCUCCAUAAAUGUGGCUUGUAUGGAAGGGUUACAAGAAAAAAGCCACUCAUCAAGUAAGGCUACCUGCAGUCAUGACAAAAUGCACCUUAAAGAUUCUGAGGCAGAUGAGACUUGAAUUAUUUGACCCUCAGCACCGAAUGAUAUGUCAGAUGGAAAUCCAACACAGCUCACCAUCCAAAUAAAUGCAUUCCUACAGUAAAGCAUGGAGGUGAUGUUAUCCUGUUAUGGGGCUGUUUCUCUGUAGCAGUGACUGGAGCACUUGUCAGAAAAGAUGGAAAAAUGGACAAGGCAAAAUACCAUCAAAUUCAUGAGGAAAAUUCCCCCAAAUUCUCACCACCUCUGCCAGAAAGUUGUCAAUGGGAAGAAGGUUUAUUUCCAACAUGACAAUGACUCAAUGCAUACAGCAAAACUGACCAGAAAGAGAAAAAGAUGAAGGUUCUUGCAUGGCCAAGUCAGAGCCAAGAUUUAAACCCCAUUGAAAAUAUUUGGAAUGACUUGAAGACUGGAGCCCACAAAUGCCUCCUAUUAAAUUUAACUGAACUUGAGCAGUUCUGCAAAGAAAAGUUGGCAAAGUUAGUAGAGACGUUGGACUGAUAACUUGAAGGUUGUGGAUUUGAAUCUCAGUUCUGGCAGUAAUUGUCUGUGGGGAGAUUGAAUAUCCAGCACUCUCUUCCACCAUCUAUACCAUUACUGAGGUGAGACCAAACCCCCACUGGUGUGUGUGUACACUAGGAUGGGUUAAAUGCAGAGCACAAAUUCCAAGUAUGGGCCACCAUACUUGGCCACAAGUCAAUUCACUUUCACUUAUUAAAGCAAAAGCUGAUUCAAUG